rnacentral:rRNA from 1 species
ACACUCCUGCGGGAGGCAGCAGUGGGGAAUAUUGGACAAUGGGCGCAAGCCUGAUCCAGCCAUGCCGCGUGAGUGAUGAAGGCCCUAGGGUUGUAAAGCUCUUUCACCGGAGAAGAUAAUGACGGUAUCCGGAGAAGAAGCCCCGGCUAACUUCGUGCCAGCAGCCGCGGUAAUACGAAGGGGGCUAGCGUUGUUCGGAAUUACUGGGCGUAAAGCGCACGUAGGCGGAUCGAUCAGUCAGGGGUGAAAUCCCAGGGCUCAACCCUGGAACUGCCUUUGAUACUGUCGAUCUGGAGUAUGGAAGAGGUGAGUGGAAUUCCGAGUGUAGGGGUGAAAUUCGUAGAUAUUCGGAGGAACACCAGUGGCGAAGGCGGCUCACUGGUCCAUUACUGACGCUGAGGUGCGAAAGCGUGGGGAGCAAACAGGAUUAGAAACCCCAGUAGUCCC